rnacentral:rRNA from 1 species
GACGAACGCUGGCGGCAUGCUUAACACAUGCAAGUCGAACGGAAAGGCCCUGCUUGCAGGGUCCUCGAGUGGCGAACGGGUGAGUAACACGUAGGUGAUCUGCCCUGCACUUCGGGAUAAGCCUGGGAAACUGGGUCUAAUACCGGAUAGGAGCCAUUUUUAGUGUGAUGGUUGGAAAGUUUUUUCGGUGUAGGAUGAGCUCGCGGCCUAUCAGCUUGUUGGUGGGGUAAUGGCCUACCAAGGCGGCGACGGGUAGCCGGCCUGAGAGGGUGGACGGCCACAUUGGGACUGAGAUACGGCCCAGACUCCUACGGGAGGCAGCAGUGGGGAAUAUUGCACAAUGGGCGCAAGCCUGAUGCAGCGACGCCGCGUGGGGGAUGACGGCCUUCGGGUUGUAAACUCCUUUCGCUAGGGACGAAGCUUUUUGUGACGGUACCUAGAUAAGAAGCACCGGCUAACUACGUG